rnacentral:lncRNA from 1 species
UCCUUGGGGACCCAGAGAAAUGUCAGCUGUGGAUUGGACAGAUUCUGAUGUCUUCCAUGCCACACCUUGACCAGUCUUCAGCACUGAGCACAGGACGACUCAGCUCCCAGUUGGUGUUGUCAGCAACUCAUUGUGAGACCUCUGGCAGCCAGCCAGCUGCACGGGGAUGGAAGGCAAGGACUCUUCACCCCAGCACUGCCCUGGGGAGAAUCAGGCAGGGCCCCGUGGGUGCUGCUCUGUGCUCUCUCCUCCAUGUGGCUCUGUCUUUCUUUAGCUCUCCCUUACCUUGUCCAGAUAAAGGCACAGAGAAUGGAAAGCCAAGUUCCCCACCUAUGAAGACCAUUGAAGGAAGAUCCCAAGCCCGGGGAGAUCCCCUGGAAACCGUCUCGUCUGACCGUGUUGGGAGUGACUUAGUAGGAAGUGGACCUCCCUCAUGGAGAGAGGAGGUGGCCAUCCUCUGUGUCCUCCCAGAGCUGACCAUCUGCGGCAUCCUUUUAUCCUGCUGCUUGAGGUCAAAGAGCCUGCAGAGUCUCCGUGCCACCUGGCCAAGGUCCCUGUGUUCUUCAUCUGUCCCAGGGAAAAGGAUGAGGCCAGAAAUGUAGGAGCAGCGCCUUGUCACACUCCUGCCCCGGGCACCGUCGUGAGUCACGGGUGAAGCAUGGGAGAGCAGCCAGGUGCUUCAGCAGCCUGAGUCUGAGCUCUGCAGAGAGGACUAGAAUCCACCACACGCUCACUAAGGGCUCUGCCCAAGGUACCAAGUCCUGCUCUCAAGAGUCCACGGAAAACACGGAGCUGUGGAGCCUGAAGGCUGGGGGUGGGCCUUGCCAAGCACAUCUAUCUUUGCACCAUGGCCUGAGCACAGCUCUGUUUUUCCUAUGCUCAUGCUCUAGCCUCCCACUGCCACCAGGAGACUUAACACAUGUUUUACCUGCAUUAACUUCACUAUAGGCAUGAAAACUUAGACUUUGCAGCAAGCAAUCGGUUGAGGCAUUGAGACAGAGGUUGUUUAUCUGCAUGUCUAUGUACACGUGUGCGUGUGCGUGUAGUACUGAGGAUUGAACCCAGAACCUAUGCACUAAGCCACACCCAAGUCUAUUUUUUAUUUUUUGAGACAGGGUCUCACUAAGUUGCCCCACGCUAGGCCCCAACUUUCAAUUCUCCUGCCUCAGCCUCCCAAAGUACUGGGAUUAUAGUACUUAGGUAGUACUUUAGGCAGUAUCACUGCAUCUACUUGAGUCUGGGCUUUUUAUAAUGUCUUUCAUCAGAGGCUUCUGCUUGCUUUUGUCAAGCUGGAGAAUUUCAAAAUGUACCCAUUCUGCAAGAUGUCACACUAUUCAGUCUCACUGUUGAAAACCCAAAAAUUGGUUGGAAAAUUCCCAUUCAUUUGUUCACUACCUAGCGGGAGGAUGCUCAGAUGGAAGGUCCCAGCCGGGGGGUGAGCGGGUAAUGGUCAGCAAGAAGGAAGCAAAGCCCAUUUUCCACACAGAUCCGCUCAGGUGUCCUCACCACUGUCCCGCUCUGCCUUUCCGGUGUCCACUGUGUCCUCAGUGAUCUGUCAUGACUCUGUCAAGGAUGCGCACAGCUCAGAAUCUGUAUCAUGGCAACCUCAUCAGCCUCAGAACAAGAGCAGCAUUCACGCAUCUGAGGGUGACCUUCUGGGAGGAAGCAGGCGGAGAGCAAAGAUCUGAAGGAAGCGACCUGGAAAGAUGGCCUAGAAUCUGCCCCUGCAUGGGCCACAGGACAACCUAGGACCAGACAGCAGAGGCAGGAAGUUCUCUCCAAUGGGCAGGCGAUGGUCCCU